rnacentral:rRNA from 1 species
GACGAACGCUGGCGGCGUGCUUAACACAUGCAAGUCGAACGGAAAGGCGCUGCUGGUGUCGGACGCUCGAGGGACGAACGGGUGAGUAACACGAGAGUAACCUGCCCUUGACUUUGGGAUAACUUCAGGAAACUGGGGCUAAUACCGGAUAGGAGGUCCAGCUGCAUGGUGGGGGCUGGAAAGUUUCGGCGGUUGGGGCUGGACUGGCGGCUUAUUGGCUUGGUGGUGGGGUAGGUGCUUACCAAGGCUUCGAACGGUAGCCGGCCUGAGAGGGUGCCCGGCCCCCUUGGUCCUGAGGUACGGCCCAGACUCCUAUGGGAGGCAGCAGGGGGAAACAUGGCACAAUGGGCGGGAGCCUGAUGCAGCAACGCCGCGGGCGUGAUCCCGGCCUUCGCGUAGUAAACAGCUUUCGCCUGUGACGAAGCGUUGGUGACGGUAACGGGUGAAGAAGCACCGGCUAACUACGUG